rnacentral:rRNA from 1 species
ACGGGUGAGUAACACGUGGGAACGUACCCUGAACUACGGAACAGCUCCGGGAAACUGGAAUUAAUACCGUAUGUGUCCUGAGGGACAAAGGUUUACCGGUUCAGGAUCGGCCCGCGUCCGAUUAGCUAGUUGGUGGGGUAAUGGCCUACCAAGGCGACGAUCGGUAGCUGGUCUGAGAGGAUGAUCAGCCACAUUGGGACUGAGACACGGCCCAAACUCCUACGGGAGGCAGCAGUGGGGAAUAUUGGACAAUGGGCGCAAGCCUGAUCCAGCCAUGCCGCGUGAGUGAUGAAGGUCUUAGGAUUGUAAAGCUCUUUCACCGGGGACGAUAAUGACGGUACCCGGAGAAGAGGCCCCGGCUAACUUCGUGCCAGCAGCCGCGGUAAUACGAAGGGGGCUAGCGUUGUUCGGAAUUACUGGGCGUAAAGCGCACGUAGGCGGACAUUUAAGUCAGGGGUGAAAUCCCGGGGCUCAACCCCGGAACUGCCUUUGAUACUGGGUGUCUUGAGUGUGGUAGAGGUGAGUGGAAUUGCGAGUGUAGAGGUGAAAUUCGUAGA